CGUGGAGACAGGUGGUGCAUGGCUGUCGUCAGCUCGUGUCGUGAGAUGUUGGGUUAAGUCCCGCAACGAGCGCAACCCUCACCCCUAGUUGCCACCGGGUUAAGCCGAGCACUCAAGGGGAACUGCCAGCGUCAAGCUGGAGGAAGGCGGGGAUGACGUCAAGUCAUCAUGCCCCUUACGCCCUGGGCUACACACGUGCUACAAUGGCCAGUACAAAGGGACGCGAGACUGCGAAGUGGAGCUAAUCCCAAAAAGCUGGUCUAAGUUCAGAUUGCAGUCUGCAACUCGACUGCAUGAAGGAGGAAUCGCUAGUAAUCGCGUAUCAGCCCGGCGCGGUGAAUACGUUCCCGGGCCUUGAACACACCGCCCGUCACACCACGAAAGCUGUCUGUACUCGAAGUCGCUGAG
rnacentral:rRNA from 1 species